CGCUCGCCGACGGGCCGGGCAACCCCAACCGAGCGCUAAUAAAAUCGCCGCAGAGGCGCGGCCGCCUCGCGGGCUUCCUUCCUAGGGGGCGCUGCGGAGCGCGGGCGGAGGCGCGCGCGCAGGCGCGCGCGCCAGGCCUCGGGACUCUUUUGCCCUCUCAGGGCGGAAGGAACGCUGUCGGCCAGCGGGAAGGGUCCUUGCCUAUCCGAGGCCUCAGCGGCCCGGGAGCGGCCCCCGCCCCUUUAAUCUUUUCUGAGCGGGGCGUCGCGGCAGCGCAGCCCUUUUGAGAUGCCGCGGAGGGUCGGCCGCCGGGUUUCAGGGCUUCCCCGCCUGCGUCGAGGGGAGUGGGCGUUGUCCGUGGUGAAAUAAAAACUGGGAAGGGAUCUUCGCCCAGUUGGCGCUUUCUCAGCGCGCUGACCUGUGGUCGAGGCUUGGAGCCGACCUCUGGAGAGGGCAGAGGCCCCAAGCGGAGAUUUCUUUUCUAGAUCAAUACUGAAUGGAUCAAAUCGGAAAGAAGCCUCUCUGGCCAGAAAAAGAAGAAAUAACAUCCUUAAAGGAGGAACGUGUAAAUCAGGAAUUGAGCCAAGAAAAGCAUGGGAGGUAAAUAUUUGUCAGGGUCCCCAGUCUAAAGGGGAAAGUCUCCUGAGCAGAUACAAAAACCUGUCUGGUUCUGGAGGUAGAGGUAGUUUCAUCUCCCUUAUCAAAACCUGAUAAGAUUCCAUUAAAUAUUUGAAGCUUACAACUAAACCUUUUAUUCUAGUUCCUUUCUUAACAAAUACAGUUGUAAAUGUUAUUUUAAUUCCCAUAUAAUUUUUUCUGCAGGGAGAGAACAUUUUGGCCAAAUGAAAUGAAUAUCAUUUCCCUUGACAGUUAUAUUUUUUCAUUGUGAAUUAGCACAUUGGUAUUUUGGUUUUCAUACACAAGUUGUAAUGAUCAUGAUUCAGCAUCUCUGGUCCUGUAACACAAAGGCCAGACCCUAAACUGAGUGAAUUCACAAAGAUAAAUAUCACUCUGAAGCUGCUUGGCCAGCCAGCUUUCUAACACCCCAGCAUUCCAAUACCUUUCAGCCACUUUUCUUCAGAAAGGAGUUUCUGUCUGUAGAUCAAGGACUAAAAUAUUGUGAAGAUUUGGGAACUUCUGUAACUCACUUCUAUUUAUUAAAACCCUUAAAGUGGGAAGAUUUCACAAUUUCUUCAAGUGCAGCAAGGAAUACUGCAUUUCUCUGGGGAGAAGAAUGGGUGUUUGAGUAUGGCAUUUAAAAGAAGGAAAAACAAGUUUCUGUUUUGCCCCUGAAGAGAAGAGUUCUGAAGAAUAAUCAUAGGCCUUAAAAUGAUAUCCCAACAGUUAACAAAGACAGUAUAGACAGAGAAAAGGCCUAAGAAAAUUUGAGGAAUGUCUAUAAAGGGGGUUAGAGGCAGAAAAAAAGAAUCUGGGCAAGGAAGAAAUAAGCAUUAAGAAGGGAUCAUCAACAGUGUCAAAGAAUGCAGAGUCACGAGAGGGGUUUAAGAAAAGGCUUUUGGAUUUGUUAACUAGAAGGCUAUUGAUUAUUUUGACUGUUUUUUUUUACUAUAUUAAAAUUUUUUAAUAUUAUAUACAUUAUAUUUUAACCUUGGAACAGACAUUACAUUUUCAUAGUUACAAAUUCAAAACGUCAAAAGAGAUAUAAUUCACUGUUGUACUGGCAUCCCAGUGACUGUAAAAAGGCAAGGUAAUAUAAGGAUUAGAAAGAAAUACAUAAACCUGUUGUUUGGAAAAAAGCACGAUAGUCUAUAUAAAAUUUAUAAACUGUUAGUAUUAAUGAAUUUAGCAAGUUUAUAAGUCAGUAUAUAAAGGUUAAUUUUAUAUACCACCGUUAAACAAUUAGGAAAUUAAAUUUUUUAAGUUUUACCAUAUAUGAAUGCACAAAAAAUAUUGAAUAACUAGUAUGUUAGUUUCCAGUGGCAGCUGUGACAAAUUACCACAAGCAUGGUAGCUUAAAACGCGUCCAUCCUCUCACAGUUCUAGAAACAAAAAGUCUGAAAUUGAUGUGUCGGCAGGCUGAGCUCCCUCAAGCGGUUUGAGGGGAGAAUCUGUUCCUUGCCUUUUCCAGUUUCUGUUUGCUGGCAUUCCUAGGCUUGAAGCCACAGUCAUUCUAACCUCUGUGUCCAUCUUCACGUUGCCUUCUCUGCGUGUCUGGAAUUUUCCUCUUGUCUGUUGUAUAGGGGGCUUCCUAGGUGGAGCUAGUGGGAAAGAGCCCACCUGCAAGUGAGAAGACAAAAAGAGAUGUGGGUUAGAUCACUGGGUUGGGAAGAUCCCCCUGGAGAAGGGAAUGACAACCCACUUCAGUAAUCUUACCUGGAGAAUUCCAUGGACAGAGGACCCUGGCGGGCUACAGUCUAAAGGGUGCAAAGAGUCAGACAUGACUGAAGUGAUUUAGCAUGCAGGCACGCUGUUAUAUAGAGACCACUAGCAUGUAUCGCCCACCUGAAUAAUCCAGAAUUAUCUGCUCUCUCAAGAUCCUUAAUCACAUCUACAAAGAUGCUUUUUCCAAAUAAACAUUUUACAGUUUCCA
rnacentral:lncRNA from 1 species